ACUAUCAAAACAUAAGUGAAAAUUUUGAAUGACAGAUAAUAAUGUUAAAAUUCAAAUCUAUAAAUUAAAAUAUAUAAAUUUUGUAAUUUAAUCUAGAGUAUUUUUUACGUUUACAUUAUGAGCCAUGUAUUGACUUUAUUAAUUAUCCUACUCUUUCCAUCAAUUUGUAUGUCCAUUAGUUGCAAAGUUUGUACAUUAUGCGACGGAUCAGAUGAAUACCUUGUUGAACACUGUGAAUUAUGCACCUAUAUGCGAUUUGUAGACGAACAUGACAUGACUGAAUAUAGCAUUGGCAAAUUAUGUGAUCGAGCAUGUGAUAACCUUCCUAUAGAUUUAGAAAAACGUCUCAUCGAGAAAAAUGGACGAUGUUACAGUUGUUAUACUGACCUUUGCAACAAAAGUAACCUGCCAAAAAUCAACAGUAAUCUUCUAAUCAUAGUUAUUUUCGUAUUUAUCGCAUUCUCUUCAUGUAAAUGUAAAUGUAUAUAAACAAAAAUUAAGCAGUGUAAAUAAAUUUAAUGUAUAAAUUUAAUAAACAUGUUAAAGUAA